UACGAAGGGGGCUAGCGUUGCUCGGAAUCACUGGGCGUAAAGCGCACGUAGGCGGACAUUUAAGUCAGAGGUGAAAUCCCAAGGCUCAACCUUGGAACUGCCUUUGAUACUGGGUGUCUUGAGUUCGGGAGAGGUGAGUGGAACUGCGAGUGUAGAGGUGAAAUUCGUAGAUAUUCGCAAGAACACCAGUGGCGAAGGCGGCUCACUGGCCCGAUACUGACGCUGAGGUGCGAAAGCGUGGGGAGCAAACAGG
rnacentral:rRNA from 1 species